rnacentral:tRNA from 2 species
GCCAAAGUAGCUCAGCUGGUAGAGCAGCUGAUUUGUAAUCAGCCGGUCGUAGGUUCGAUUCCUAUCUUUGGCUCGA